GGGGUAUAGCUCAGCUGGGAGAGCGUCGGCUUUGCAAGCCGAAUGUCAAGGGUUCGAUCCCCUUUACCUCC
rnacentral:tRNA from 1 species